AAUGCAUGACGCCGUUGACUUUUUAUCCAAUGUUUGACCAUUCGUCUUAUUCAAAAAAUUUAUAUAAUUAUCAUUUAUUUUAUUAUAACUUGAUUCGUCAUCAAAUGUUCUUUAAGCAUAACAUAAAUAUUUUUAUAUUUGCAUAAAAUUUUUGAAUAAAACGAAUGGUCAAACAUUGGUUGAAAAAUCAACGGCGUCAUACAUU
rnacentral:pre_miRNA from 1 species